rnacentral:rRNA from 1 species
CAGCAGCCACGGGAAUACGUAGGUGGCAAGCGUUGUCCGGAAUUAUUGGGCGUAAAGGGCUCGCAGGCGGUUUCUUAAGUCUGAUGUGAAAGCCCCCGGCUCAACCGGGGAGGGUCAUUGGAAACUGGGAAACUUGAGUGCAGAAGAGGAGAGUGGAAUUCCACGUGUAGCGGUGAAAUGCGUAGAGAUGUGGAGGAACACCAGUGGCGAAGGCGACUCUCUGGUCUGUAACUGACGCUGAGGAGCGAAAGCGUGGGGAGCGAACAGGAUUAGAUACCCCCGUAGUCCCUGACUCUUAUAC